rnacentral:rRNA from 1 species
GUGAGGAAUAUUGGGCAAUGCCCGCAAGGGUGACCCAGCAACGCCGCGUGGAGGAUGAAUGUCGUAAGAUUGUAAACUCCUGUUAGAGGGGAAGAAUAGUACCGGUUGGACCGGUAUAUGACUGUACCCUCAGAGAAAGCCCCGGCUAACUACGUGCCAGCAGCCGCGGUAAUACGUAGGGGGCAAGCGUUGUCCGGAUUUACUGGGUGUAAAGGGCGCGCAGGCGGGAUAAAAAGUCAGUGGUGAAAUCCUACAGCUUAACUGUAGAACUGCCUUUGAUACUUUUAUUCUUGAGUUCGGGAGAGAGAGACGGAAUUCCCGGUGUAGUGGUGAAAUACGUAGAUAUCUGGAAGAACACCAGUUGCGAAGGCGGUCUCUUGGUCCGACACUGACGCUGAGGCGCGAAAGCGUGGGGAGCAAACA